UAAUGGUGGUGAUGCCAAUUUUUAAGCAUACCCGUAAAUCUAUCCCAAGCUUGGUAAAGAUUUUCUCCUUCUUUCUGCCGAAAUAUUAAUAUCUCGCUUGUCAAGCG
rfam:Capsicum annuum cultivar Zunla-1 chromosome 10, whole genome shotgun sequence